UUUUGCAUUUUGCCCUCAGUUUUGCCUUGUUCUUUGUUGUGCGUUAAAUGUGUGAUUUCCAGCCGUUUUGGGUAAUUCACAGAGGAGUUUAUCUGGAUUUAGACGCAGCAGUGUGAACAUGUCCAGAGAGUUGUUACAUCUGCGAAAAUUCAGCGUUAAGAGAUCCUACAAUCGCACAGUUGUAACAUCAACAAAGUCUCGCAAGCA
rnacentral:lncRNA from 1 species